GGGCGCUCCGGCGGGGGCUGGCGGGCACCAGCCCCUCGCCGUGUCCCCCCCACCCCCACCCCUCUCCAGGUGAGCCGGGGCCUCCCCCAGCCGGGGGCCGGCUCAGGCCGGAGCGGCGCCGCCGCGGGGGUGCGGGCGGCGGCGGGCGGCGCUCCCGCAGCGCGGCGGGCGGGCGGGCGGGCGAACGGGCAGGGCCCGGCGGCCCCGGACAGGGUGGGGAAGGAGGAACGGUAGGGCCACAGCCCCUGUCCCGGCGCGGCCGCGGGCCGGUGCUGCCGGAGCCUCGUCCCCGGAGGGCGGGGGAACCUGACCCCCGAAGCUCCCGGUGGUCUCUCGGGGAAGGAGCGUAGUGUCCCCGAGGGCAGAGCCGGGAAGGCGAGACCCCCUGCCCCGCGGGGUGACCGCCCCCCGUCCCCCCAUAAGGCCCCUCCGCUCCGGCACUGGGACCCAGCGCGCUGUGGGGGCUGGGGUUUGCCUGGGUGCUCAGCCUGCCCAAACAGGACCACGGUGGAUAUACCGGCUCUUAUAAUUAUAACCAAGGUGAUUCAAAUCCUUGAUCUAAACCCCAGAUUUCCCAAAGUUCAGGAGCGGAAGCUGGGCGCUCGGCCUCUGCCUGCCUCAUAUAGCCCACAGGGGAAGUCUCGAUCAAGCCUCUGAAACGGACAGAGAGGCUUCAUUAGGGCACAUCAUAAAAGGUUAUAAAAAGGAAGGAAUUUGUACCUAAAAACCCGAUUGCUUAGCAUAUUUGUAAUCAAACACAGGUGAUUAAGUGGCAACAGGUGGCUCCCUAAUGAUGUUCUGUUUAAAAACAGUAAAAGAUAAUGGUGUCAAAUCAGACAUAGGUUCCCAAUGAGGAAAGGACCCGGCUCCUUCUUGCUUAUCUUCAGACAGUGAUUGUGCCUUGCUGCCAGACUUGGAUACCUCAGCAGUUUAUGUACCCAGAAAGACGAAGGUGUGAUUAUCGCAUAAUAAGCUUACUCAUGCUAGCUCUGCUCUCGCUGGCACAUGCACAGCAGUUACUAUGUGAUGACACAGUCUUCUCUGGAACAGCCCGAGUGCAACUUCUCCCUGCAGCCUGGGGUCCUGUUGCAGUCCAUGCUGCUGUGCCCCCAGUGCUACAGUCACGCAUGGCAAAGCUGCCACAGAAAGAGAAUUAUGCUGCAGCCCUGGCUCGGUGUGCUCUGUCCUGUCAGCUGCGCGAUUGGCACCAGAUGCACAGCAGCCAUGUGCAAUUCCGGCACAAGGUGCCCUCUGUCCAUCCUCAGAGAGGAGAGGAUGAUCCCUCUGCCUCUUUCCUGCUUUGGAUGCUUGACAGCCGCUGUCUUGGUGACUAAAUGGGCUAUUGAAGGGGUUUGUGGUGGGGAUGUCUGUCAAGAACAAUUUCCCAUUCAUACCUGCAGCAUUGUUUCAGCUCCAAAUUACCUUUCUGGGUUGGUUUGGUUUUUUUAUUUUUUCCAGAAGGGGCUGUUUCCAGAAGCUGCUCCUGGCUGGGUGAAGACAAGCCCUGGCUUUCCCUGCUGCAGCUGCAUUGCUGGAGCCAUGGCUCUGAAGGGGACCUUCUGCCAGGACUCAGAGGUAGCAGGAGGCCGAAAUGAACAUUUCUCAAUACCUCUCUGUCCCGAGGAAAUUAAUUCCAUCAGGAUGUAACAUUGCUUCUCAAGAAGCUGCCAUUUCUGGAGUUGCAGCUGCUGCUGACAAGGCAUUUGCUGUGAGGAAGUUCACACAGUUAAGAUUUCCGCCUGGCAUGACUAAUGCUGCCCUCACCCUCCUUGGGGUCUUUUGAGCUAUUCCUGAGGGCUGUAGUGACACUGCUGUCUACAGGUGGGUUGUAGCUCCGUGCCUCAGUCAGCUGAGCACUGCAGAAUUUGGAGCAGAUGCCUCAUUAGUGAGAAGGGACUCACUAGUGCAGGUGUGAUUCAUGACUUGGGAGAGCACGUCAGGGAUCAAGGCAAGAAGUGGCUUGACUAACAGAGGCAGUAACAAUGCAGAACCAAGCAACAAAACAGCAGCAGCAGCUGAAAAAACUGUGAAGUAGGACAGCGUAAGAGCCAAAAAAGAGAAACCUGGCUGUCUAGGACACCUGUGUUUGAGUUUCAGCUGGAAACAAACCCUGGCUUUUCAAAGAACCUGGAGUGCAUCCUCCGCACAAAUUCAUUUUGGAGGUUCUUCAUGGAUAUCCUUUUCUAGACAAAUUAAUCUUGGGAUCACAGUGGCUGCAUAGCAUCCGUUGCAUACUAAAGAGCUAGCUAUUCUGGAGCCAAAUGACAGGGAACAACAGUGCCUGGCUGUAGAGAGAAGCACGUUAUUCCAGCAUGGCUGAGCGGCGAGAUGCACGGGGACAUCUCUCCAGAGAAAGCGUGGCUCCUCUUCCAUCUGGCAGCACGAAAGAGGACAAGCCUGAAUCCUCAAGACACAACGAUUAUAUUAUGUAAUGUGCAUGCUCACUGCUUCUGGAGACAGAGCUAAGUCAAAAGUACCCGUGUGAUUCAGUCAGAGGCCAAGCCAGAGGGGAGCUGCGCUGUCCUCCCCAAACCCGGGGGAUACUGGAGCAAAUGACCUGAGCUCUCCUAGAUAUGAGCAAAGCUUUUCACAAGCCCAUGCAGAUGUUUUACAGUCACAAUAAACUACGUAUGUGAUGGAGUGAUCUCUUUCUGAAAUAUGAUCUGGGCCACAGGAUUAUAGCUGCUUUUCAGAGAGACAGGUGGACUCUUCAGCUGCAUUAAAGAGGAUCCCUGAUUAUCAGGGACUUUCUGGGAUAUUCACAGUGAGGACACAAGUAGUUCCAGUUUCCAAGUGCUUUCAUCUAUUUACCCAGCUCAAAAAAAGCUAAUACGUAGUAGGAUCUUAUCAGCACUGUCAUGUUAUGAAAUAUCUUAGUUGUCUCCAUUGCCUAUAUCUUCCUUCACUUUCCAGGUGAUUUAGAGCUGCAAACAAGGCUCCUAGAAGACUUUAUGGAGACUUUGCUAACUACAUCACUUAAAUCUGUACAUGACGGCAAGUCAUACUCUUUCUCAUUUUUAAAUAACAACAAAUAUUUAAAAAUAUACAUUGGUUGAGCUUAGACAUUUGAAAUGUAUUGUUAAUUUCUAAUGGGUAUGUACAUUAGAGGCAUGAGGGCUAAUGACAGACUAGGCAGAUCAAACAGACGUUUCUCCUGACACUCCAGCUCUGAAGGACUCAAGUGUGGAUAAGGCUGUUAUGUAAGACAGGGUUUUAGAUACCACUGAAGCGCUUUACAAUUAAGAUGGAAUAUUAAUAAAAGAUUUAAACUGAAAACCUCCAGCUAUUAGAAGGAUUAGGACUUUGCGGUGGGCUAGGGGAAUACAUACAGUGUCAAAGCCAUCUUCUUGGCUGUGAUCAAAGAAAAGGCUGUGGCUGAAACAGCAUCUUGGAUGGAGGGGAACAGAUCUGCAGCAUCACAUAAUAACAACAACAUCAACAAUAAUAGCAGCAGCAGCAGCAACAACAACUUGUGCAGAGAUUGCAAUCCACAGCAGCAAAAACAAACUUGGGGUGCAGCCUAGAGCUUCGUGUGCCCUCUGACAGCAGGCGUCCCCACACAUGGGGAAAAACAUCUGCUUAUUUACGUGCAUGCAGCUGUACUGGGUUUCCUGGGAAGAGCCUGUGAGAACGGAGUUUGGCAUUCAGCGGUGGUGUCAGCUCCUUACACGUGUGCACUGGCCAAGAGGAGUUCGCACCAAAGCUCACAGGGCUCAAUGCUACAUAAACAA